ACAAAAUAUUGUCAACGUCAAUACCCUGACAGAUAUUUACGUCAGCAAUGGAUGUUAAAUGGAAAUUAUACAUUUUUAUAUUUAUUUUAUACGAAGUUAUAUCACUUGGUUACUUUAACUUAUCAAACAGUACUGAAGCUGCACAACUGGCGAUAUUUUUGCAAAAUAUGUAAAACUUUGGAAACCAUCAGCAAUAAUUAAAUCAUCUUAGUCGUUACAGACAUUUACAACGAGUUAUAACGUUCCCGAACCAAACAUUUUUAAUUAAUCAAUAAAACAUGUGAUAAAAUCA